GUGGGGAAUAUUGCGCAAUGGGCGAAAGCCUGACGCAGCAACGCCGCGUGCGGGAUGAAGGCCUUCGGGUUGUAAACCGCUUUCAGUGGGGACGAAAACAGACGGUACCCACAGAAGAAGCCCCGGCCAACUACGUGCCAGCAGCCGCGGUAACACGUAGGGGGCGAGCGUUGUCCGGAUUUAUUGGGCGUAAAGAGCUCGUAGGCGGCUCGGUAAGUGAGGUGUGAAAACUCCAGGCUCAACCUGGAGACGCCACCUCAUACUGCCGUGGCUAGAGUCCGGUAGGGGAGCAUGGAAUUCCUGGUGUAGCGGUGAAAUGCGCAGAUAUCAGGAGGAACACCAGUGGCGAAGGCGGUGCUCUGGGCCGGAACUGACGCUGAGGAGCGAAAGCGUGGGGAGCAAACAGGAUUAGAAACCCCAGUAGUCC
rnacentral:rRNA from 1 species